GCAGGAUUUUUGGGUCUCUGGAGGAAAAGGAGACAGAUGCAAGGGAAGAGGAGAGAGUUCACCAUGCUUUGGAGAGAGAAGAAUCAGGUAAUCAUGCGAUGUCUCGAGAGGAGUGGUGGGCUGUGGCCGCUCCUAUAGGGGACAAGAUCUGUGGGGCAAGCCAACAAUGCCACCAGACAGAAGAACUGAGUGAGCUUGGACCCAGGAAUCUCAGAGGCUUCAGAUCAGCAGGAGUUGAGAUACACCCUACCUAUUUCUGCACCUGCUCUGGAACUGCCUUCUGGAUAUGUAACCAUGACACCCCACUGAGAGGACCAUGGCAACCAGUCAUGUAAGGAAACACCUGGAGUUCUUCCCCAUGCAAAGAGAGCAUCGCUAACUUCUCAAACUCAGCCAAUGGGAAACACCCACCUCGAAAUCUCACUCUACUCCCCAAUGUUUAUAUAGUCCCUGUUCACAUGGAAUAAAGCGCACACGCUGUUUCAUUGAGG